rnacentral:lncRNA from 1 species
UCAACCUACCGUAGUUAUUAUAACUCUUUCCGUUGUUCAACUUUAGGACCAAAUGUAGCUACAGAUUUAUCAUAAUACAGGUUUCUAGCUGGUGUUUUUAUCUUAUUAUCUGCCAGUAUUCCUUAGGACAAGUAUUGUGUGUAUUGUGGGAGAGUUGAUAGUUUUGGCUACUGUGUGUAUUGUGUGACAUGUCUAGUUGUUUGAUUUGUGUGUAUUAUUGUCUAGCUAUUUGAUUUGUGAAGUGAGCUACUACAUGUGUGUAUUGUCUAUGGUGUAUAAUAUUGAAAAGAACAAGGUUGUUAGCAUGCAUAAAUUAUCUCAACAUUAUAAUUUGAGUUGCGUAUAUUAUUUUAUAAUUGUAGAAAAAGUUAAAGGAACAAACUGCUAUUGCCAAGACUUUGCAGAGCACUCAACACCCGGACAUCCCACUGGAUCAGCUACCUCCUUUGGACUGGCCAACUUAACUAAGUGUUGUGCAAAACGCUAUGGGAGAAAUAAAAGGGUCUUACCUUCGUGGUAUUGGACGAGCAGGCGUCCCAGAGAAGAGCAGAAGGUCAACAUCUUCCCCUUCACGCUCUUGACCGAUUAAUAAUGAGGCGAUGGCAGAGAUAGUGGCUUCUAGAAAGGAGGCAGCUGAGGCACAAGAGAGGGCUGAAAAAACCUAGAAGAUCGCUGAGCAGUCUGCUGCAGAUUAUCAAGUGUUGAAGUUGCAAAUGGAUCAAGCUCGAAUAUGGCUACAUCAAUCCUAUGUGUUCACCCUCGGUCCCAAGCCAACAACCUCGAGACGACGAUAAUGAUAGCGGUCUUGACACUUCUUCAAUUAGUUUAGGAAAUCACACUAUGGACCUCUCAUGCCAAAAACUUUAUAUUUUUGUUGCUUGUUAUAAAGACUUAUGUUGUUUGAUUGUCUAUUGGACCUCACAUUCUUAUUGCUUGUUAUAAACACUUAUGUUGUUUGAUUGUUAUAAGAACUUCAUAUAUAACAAAAUUAAGAACUGAACUUUAUUGAAUGUUAAUAAUCCACUUCAAUUACAAAAUCAUUUGAAUAAGAAAGAUUACAUGCGGAUAGCAACAAUACCUAUUGAUCUAAAUCUACAUAUCACUGCAUUCUCAUUGCUCCUUGAGGAACUUUGAGCCAUGUUCCAUUCUUUGCUGGUCGAAUACACCGUGUAGCAGCUUGCAAGCUUGUUUUCCAGAAUGUCUUCUUGCUCUGCCAAUUCUCCAGUUGACUCGAGAGUUCUUUUGAGCCAAAGCUGCAACUAUGAUCUCCCUGAGAUAAUCUGACCAGUGCAAAGCAAAAAAACCAGUAGUUGAGGAGCACUUGAAUCUAUCAUCCAAACAUCAUUCUGCUUUCUGUUAUUGUCAAUAACAUAAGACAAUGUAUGCAACUAGGAAACAAAGAAGUUGGACCAAAAUGCCUAGGGCAAUAAUACUUAUAUAACAACACAUCAAAUACUUAACUGCCAAUAAUAGAGUAUUGACCCCACUUUUUUUAUUUAUUUGAUCUGAGCAAGAACCUUAUACCAAAAAAAUCUGAAGCCAAAUACAGAACAAUACAUCUAUGACAUAGGUAAGUUGCCCCUUUUUUUCCUUUUUCAUCUUUUGGUCAGGAUGUAGGCAUGCACUUUCUCUUUUUCUCUCAAAAAAGAAGAAGGAUGUAGGCAUGCAGAGAUUGAAGGAAAUAUAACACUAGAGAAGCACAACAGAUCAAGCUAAUACACAUCAAAUAAAACUCGCCUUUUACUUAUAACUUAAUACCAAUUAACUUAUACUUGGAACCUGCCGAGUCCAAUACCAGAAUCUAUGGUAGAACAAGUUUGAUAGAAUUUACCAAUAACUUUUGACUUAUGAAUUCAAAGACAACCCAACACUUUAUAUUCAGUCCUUAACGAUCAAGAACCAAGCUUACAUGAUUAAGGUAUUAAUUCAAUACCUUCCAACUUCUUUGAACUACUGCUCUUGUGACUUAAAAAGAUGAUCUUGUCAUCUAGCAAACUUUAAUUACUAUCACAACAUCAAUAUGCUAUAACAAUACACCCAGACCCAUACUCAAAAGAUCACAACCAGUCUUCCAAAGUAUGAUUAAAUGGGUAUAUACCUUUAAUUGAAAGCAACCAGAGGAUGGCCUUAAGUUUCUGGCUUCCUUCACAGCAACAAACAGAGUCCUCCCGUGGUUCACCUCCUCCACCACCUCACCAAUUCUGAUAACAAGUAUACCCAAACCUCAAAUUCAAUCUCAAUCCAUUUAAAUGAUCGAGAAAAUGACCCAAAAGGUAUCCAAAUACCCAUGUACAUGCCGAAAUGUGUAAUGCACCUUUGACUUAAAAACUCUAAUUGACAAAAGAAAAUUUGGUCAAAAUCCUAAUAGAUUUCUACAUAAGAAUAAUACUAUGGGGAGUAAUUGAAUUACAACGUAGGUUGUAGUAAUAACUAAACAUCCUUUCAUGCAGAAAAAAGUUGUACAAGCCCUGCAUAGGAACGCCGAAGAACUUCUCUUGUUGAUUUAAAUUGACACCCGGGACAAAAAGUGAAAAAUGAAAAAGACAACUGAUACAAAACUGAUGGUUUACAGAUCAAUGGCUUACUAAGUCAGAAAAAGAUAACUUUUAAUUAUUAUUGGGACAUGGACAUUGUAAAAAGGAUGAGUAAUACAUGAUUUUCUUAUACGACAACCGGAUCACUACCUUUGUGUCUUAGUAGGUAGCCUGAUGCAAAAUUAACAGAGUUAUAAGUUAAGUAUUGAAACCACAUUGGCCAAGUAUUGAUACCGACAUGGCAAAUGCUCAUUAUUCCUACUACAUAUUUGUGCAUUGUUCUGAUUUAUCUAUUGUAUUCAAGUACAUGAAUGUCUAAAUUGACUAUCAUCUAGACAUAUACUGGUUCCCUAGAAAUAUAUAGGCAUUCGUGUUGCACUAUAUAUAAACAAAACCAAAUAUGGAAGAAACAAAACAAGAAAAUGAUGACCCGAAGUGGAAAAAUUGUGCCUCUGUAGAAAUCUAACGGGAUGUAUAAAUGAGGAGGCAAACACAUUGGUAAUAAAAGUUCCUAUAAACCACCUGAUCAACUUUAGCCUUCGCAGAGAUCUAAACUUGUUGAGCACUUCAUACUCAUAAUUGAGAACUUCGCAGCUUUGAUUGUCGUUGAAGAAGCAAGCAAGGGCAGAAGCGCCGGAAGGCAGAAAAACAACCCAGAAAAGAGAAAAAUAAAUCCAACCAAAUACGAAAGCUAAACAUAGCGGAAUGUCGAGAAAUAAGAAACCCCAAAUCUAUAACCCAAUUGGUAGAAAUCCCAAAUCGUAAACCUUAGAUCCCAAAACAAAGAAAUGUCAAAAACCCUAACUGCUAGCAACGAUUUACGAAGAGGAACAAUCACAAAUACACAACUCAAAAACCCCAAAUUGUAAACCCAGAUCCCAAAACAAAUCAAAUUCGAAAACCCUAGAUAGAGAGUCUUACCAGCUAGCGAGGAGUAGAGCUAUGAAUGAGAGCUCAGAGUCAUCGAGAGGCGGAGAGGGAAGAAACGUGUUCUGAGAGAGGGAGAGAAAGUGGCGUCGAGAGAGAAAAGAGAUGGUCUUCUUGAUGAACUCCACAGAUUCGGCAAAUGAAGAUGUGGAUGGUGAAUUGGUGGGUAGGAGGGCUGACGGCAGCGGAGAGAGGGUUGGGAGGGCUGACGGCAGCGGAGAGAUGGUUGAGCGUCGAUGCAGGAGCCCCUCUCGCCUCAGUCUCUCUUUCCCUCUCGAACUGAAAUGGAAGAGGCUGGGGUUUCUUACCCUCGUAAGUGUUGACCCAACGGUUCAGAUGAGAAAAGAAAGGAUGUAGGGCUAGGAUUAAUUGUUGCCUUUAAAAAUUAGAAAUAGUUGACCAGCAUCUUGCUAACCCCUAACCUCUAAACUUAGCUUUUUUUUAUUCACCAAAGAAUUAAAACCUACUAAUGUAAUACAUGUUUACUAGCUAGGUUACAUCUAAACGUAUAUCAUUAUAAACCAAUUAUAUGGACGAAAUAAAAUUUGCAAAAUUUGAUUGUACGAUGUGAUCACAAUAGUCAAUUAUGUGUACAAUAGCAAACUUACCUAUUUUCGAUAACGUUUGGGUCUCAAUCGCAUGGGUCAACUUUAUUUACGUUUAAACUUCCAUGUGCUUCCUUAUGAGGAACUAUAUAAUCGGUUUAUAAAUAUGUCCAAAUUUUUACAAGGAUCAGUUUCGCCAAUACUCAAUGAGAGUUUGAGUAUUGAGGAAUCAAAAAUAUAAGUUUCGGUCGAAGUAGAUAAGAGCG